rnacentral:rRNA from 1 species
UUUUCCAGACGUUUUUCAUGCAACUGCUCAUUUCAAAGAAUUAGCUGUACAUUUUAUUCAUACUCUCCAUAUCCAUAAAAAUAUACAUAUAUUGCAUUUCAUUUCAUUUAUUUUUUUAAAGAGUAUAUUCUUCGGGCCGAUCACAUGCCCCCGUGGUGGUGAUGACCCAUUUGAAUGUCUGCCCUAUCAACUUUCGAUGGUAGUCGCCAUGCCUACCAUGGUGACCACAGGUGACGAAGAAUCAGGGUUCAAUUUCAGAGAGGGAGCCUGAGAAACGGCUACCACAUGCAAGUAAGGCAGCAGGCAUGCAAAUUACCCACUCCCAACCUGGGGAGGUAGUGACAAAAA